rnacentral:rRNA from 1 species
UACGUAGGGGGCAAGCGUUAUCCGGAUUCACUGGGCGUAAAGGGAGCGCAGGCGGCAUGGCAAGUCUGAUGUGAAAACCCGGGGCCCAACCCCGGGAGUGCAUUGGAAACUGCCAGGCUGGAGUGUCGGAGGGGUAAGCGGAAUUCCUUGUGUAGCGGUGAAAUGCGUAGAUAUUAGGAGGAACACCAGUGGCGAAGGCGGCUUACUGGACGACUACUGACGCUGAGGCUCGAAAGCGUGGGGAGCAAACAGG